CAUAUUCUUUUUUAAUUUUACAAAUUUAUUAUGUUUCCUUUAAUCAAACGUCAUUUAAUUUACAUACCUUAUUAUAACCAAUUACUUGCGCAAGUCUCGCAAGUAAUAUUAUUUGCGUCGUUAAUACUCUUCACCAUCAAAGGACUAUAUAUAGAGUACAAAGUGGCGAUGAAGCAACACAACCAUUCUUCUAUUUUUAUAUAUACAUAUUUCAUCAUAGCUGACUUUUCUUUUGGUUUAUAUGCAGAUGCCCUAUUCUAACGAUUUCACCACGAUGCAGCGAAGAAUAUGACACAAAAGCUGAUGUUUUCUCCUUUGCUUUGAUCGUUCAAGAGAUAAGUUAAAACCUUUUUUUUUCCUUAUGGUUUUUGCUGUUUCUUUGUUCAUGUUGUUGAUUCCUUUUGAAUGUUGAAACUUUUUUAGAUGAUAGAAGGACGAAUGCCAUUUGCUGAAAAGGAAGACAGUGAAGCUUCAGAAGCUUAUGCCAGCAAAGAGCGGCCACUGUUCAAAGCUCCAUCAAAUUGCUUUACCCUCAUGGACUUAAAACACGUCUGUGGAAGCAGUACUCUGGUGUUAUAGGAGGACAAUUUAAAUGGUGAUAUAUAGUUGAUCAAAAGGAGAUAAUGAUCCAUGGUACCGUGAAGAAGGAACACCAAGAUGACUUUAUAAGUUUGGAAGCAACUGCGUUGGCUGGAAAUAAUCUUCAUUAGUUGAUGGAUGCAUUGAGGAAAUUUUCUUUUGGGUAAACUACACACAGCGGCAAGAAGGAGUAGAAUCUUUUUUUUUUGGUCAAGAGGGAGUAGAAUCUAUUAUUAUUAUAUACAUGGGUGGAAGGAUUAAACUGAUCUUUAACUUACUGGAACUUUUGUUGGAUGUAAUUUGUAAAUAAAAAUACAUACAUGCAGUAGCUGUUGGAAUAAUUUGAGUUCUCUUUUUUUUC